AAAAGGCCAGUUGAGAUAGGGAUGACGUCCUCCAUGGAGCACAAGGGUCAUACUUCCAGUCUGAAGGCGAGCUCCUGCUAAUCUCCGAAACACUUCACAAAGGGACAGUGUGCACAUCACAAAGCAAGUCAUUCUGCUGGCCUUGAGCCAGGUUUGCAGAGCACGGAUUAAAUCCAAGACAAACCCUCGAGCACUUUAUGGAAAGGUUCCCACUGGCUCCAUCAAGCUUUCAUUGAAGUUUUUGAGCUGCAGCCAAUAGCAUUACUUUCUCCAGAUCAGAAAUGGGUUUGAGCAACAAGGUAAUGCCUUUGUGAACCCUGGCUGCAGGCAGAGGAAGUCCUAACCUUAUCACAGAGCAGGGCUGGAAGAUACCCCAGCAUGGCAAGCAAGAAAGCAGUCAUGCAGAUGCUUUGCAGAUAGAAGAGAACUACAGCUAUCACUUCUGAAAGUUUUCCCUGGCACUUUGGUUGCUGCUCUGACCCUGAACCCUCUUGGAAAGAGAGCUGGGAAGAAAGAAGCCUGCAGCUGCAAGCAGCCUCAGCCUGGCCAGGCAUCUCCCCUUGCUGCUAAUAGCACCCACCUGAAAGUAAGAGCUUCCACAACAGCCAGAAGCCUUUCAGACCAACAGAUCUCUGGGCCUGCACCCUCAGAUCUGUAAUUCUGGAGCUCAAAAGGACAGCCUCUGCUUGCUUCCAGUAGCACUUCAAGCUCCUGGGGGGAUCUGCCUCAAUAAAACCAUCUCCUUUCUCUGAGACAAG